UAAUUUGACUCAACACGGGAAAUCUUACCGGGUCCGGACGUAUCGAGGAUUGACAGAUAGUUAUACAUGCCCUACAAGCAAGUAGGAGUCAGGUUUUAAACCUAAUGGCUCUUUCAUGAUUAUAUGAUAGGUGGUGCAUGGCCGUUCUUAGUUCGUGGAGUGAUCUGUCUGCUUAAUUGCGUUUCAAAUUUUUAACCGAGGACCGGGUUUUGGUUUGGCUAGUGGUCCUACGAUGACUGUGAACUGUCAUGUCUUCGGAUGUACGACUAUCGGUCUAGGAUCACAUGACUUGCCCCUGGGACUCUUUUGAACGCAACGGACGUGAUUGCAACCCCUUGUUGAGAUUAGAGAUAGUCUCGAUAUUCACUGGCCAAACUGGCUGCUUUAUGCAGUCUUGUUGAAUGGUGGAUAAACUCGGGGGACUGCUGACUAUAACCAUUUCUCAAAACAGAGGAAGGUUGCGGCAAUAACAGGU
rnacentral:rRNA from 1 species